rnacentral:rRNA from 1 species
GAGGAAUAUUGGUCAAUGGGCGGAAGCCUGAACCAGCCAUCCCGCGUGAAGGAAGACAGCCUUACGGGUUGUAAACUUCUUUUCUGUCAGAAGAAUAAGCUUGUCGAGACGAGUGAUGCCGGUAUGACAGGAAUAAGCAUCGGCUAACUCCGUGCCAGCAGCCGCGGUAAUACGGAGGAUGCAAGCGUUAUCCGGAUUUAUUGGGUUUAAAGGGUGCGCAGGUUGUUUGAUAAGUCAGUGGUGAAAGUCUGUCGCUUAACGGUAGGAUUGCCAUUGAUACUGUUGGACUUGAAUAUGGAUGAGGUAGGCGGAAUGUGUAGUGUAGCGGUGAAAUGCAUAGAUAUUACACAGAACACCGAUUGCGAAGGCAGCUUACUAAUCCAUCAUUGACGCUGAGGCACGAAAGCGUGGGGAUCAAAC